UUGCAUAUCCAAUAGCGGAGGAAAAGAAACUAACAAGGAUUCCCCUAGUAACGGCGAGUGAAGCGGGAUGAGCUCAAAUUUGUAAUCUGGUGGACUCAGUUCAUCCGAGUUGUAAUCUAUAGAAAAGUUUUCCGCGCCGGACCGUGUCUAAGUCCCUUGGAACAGGGUGUCAGAGAGGGUGAGAAUCCCGUGCUUGAUACGACCACCGGUGCUAUGUGAUACUUUUUCAACGAGUCGAGUUGUUUGGGAAUGCAGCUCAAAAUGGGUGGUAAAUUCCAUCUAAAGCUAAAUAUUGGCGAGAGACCGAUAGCGAACAAGUACCGUGAGGGAAAGAUGAAAAGCACUUUGGAAAGAGAGUUAAACAGUACGUGAAAUUGUUAAAAGGGAAACGAUUGAAGUCAGUCGUGCUCUCUGGGACUCAGCCGGUUCUUCCGGUGUAUUUCCCAGUGAGCGGGUCAACAUCAGUUUAGAUCGCUGGAUAAGGUCAUUAGGAAUGUGGCUCCCUCGGGAGUGUUAUAGCCUAGUGUCGCAUACAGUGGUUUAGACUGAGGAACGCAGCUCGCCUUUAUGGCCGGGGUUCGCCCACGUCCGAGCUUAGGAUGUUGACAUAAUGGCUUUAAACGACCCGUCUUGAACCACCGGACCAAAA
rnacentral:rRNA from 1 species